rnacentral:rRNA from 1 species
AGUGAACGCUGGCGGUAGGCCUAACACAUGCAAGUCGAACGGCAGCACAGUAAGAGCUUGCUCUUACGGGUGGCGAGUGGCGGACGGGUGAGGAAUACAUCGGAAUCUACUUUUUCGUGGGGGAUAACGUAGGGAAACUUACGCUAAUACCGCAUACGACCUACGGGUGAAAGCAGGGGAUCUUCGGACCUUGCGCGAUUGAAUGAGCCGAUGUCGGAUUAGCUAGUUGGCGGGGUAAAGGCCCACCAAGGCGACGAUCCGUAGCUGGUCUGAGAGGAUGAUCAGCCACACUGGAACUGAGACACGGUCCAGACUCCUACGGGAGGCAGCAGUGGGGAAUAGUGGACAAUGGGCGCAAGCCUGAUCCAGCCAUACCGCGUGGGUGAAGAAGGCCUUCGGGUUGUAAAGCCCUUUUGUUGGGAGAGAAAAGCAGCAGGUUAAUACCCCGCUGUUCUGACGGUACCCAAAGAAUAAGCACCGGCUAACUUCG